rnacentral:rRNA from 1 species
AGUGAACGCUGGCGGUAGGCCUAACACAUGCAAGUCGAACGGCAGCACAGUAAGAGCUUGCUCUUACGGGUGGCGAGUGGCGGACGGGUGAGGAAUACAUCGGAAUCUACUUUUUCGUGGGGGAUAACGUAGGGAAACUUACGCUAAUACCGCAUACGACCUACGGGUGAAAGAAGGGGAUCUUCGGACCUUGCGCGAUUGAAUGAGCCGAUGUGGGAUUAGCUAGUUGGCGGGGUAAAGGCCCACCAAGGCGACGCUCCGUAGCUGGUCUGAGAGGAUGAUCAGCCACACUGGAACUGAGACACGGUCCAGACUCCUACGGGAGGCAGCAGUGGGGAAUAUUGGACAAUGGGCGCAAGCCUGAUCCAGCCAUACCGCGUGGGUGAAGAAGGCCUUCGGGUUGUAAAGCCCUUUUGUUGGGAAAGAAAAGCAGCAGGUUAAUACCCCGCUGUUCUGACGGUACCCAAAGAAUAAGCACCGGCUAACUUCGUG